GAUGAAGAACGUAGCAAAAUGCGAUAAGUAAUGUGAAUUGCAGAAUUCAGUGAAUCAUCGAAUCUUUGAACGCACAUUGCGCCCGCUGGUAUUCCGGCGGGCAUGCCUGUUCGAGCGUCAUUUCAACCCUCAAGCCCCCGGGUUUGGUGUUGGGGAUCGGCUCUGCCCUUCUGGGCGGUGCCGCCCCCGAAAUACAUUGGCGGUCUCGCUGCAGCCUCCAUUGCGUAGUAGCUAACACCUCGCAACUGGAACGCGGCGCGGCCAUGCCGUAAAACCCCAACUUCUGAAUGUCGACCUCGGAUCAGGUAGGAAUACCCGCUGAACUUAAGCAUAUCAAUAAGCGGAGGA
rnacentral:misc_RNA from 1 species